rnacentral:rRNA from 1 species
GGGAUUGCCUCAGUAACGGCGAGUGAAGCGGCAAGAGCUCAAAUUUGAAAGCUGGCUCCUUCGGAGUCCGCAUUGUAAUUUGCAGAGGAUGCUUUGGGUGCGGCCCCCGUCUAAGUGCCCUGGAACGGGCCGUCAGAGAGGGUGAGAAUCCCGUCUUGGGCGGGGUGUCCGUGCCCGUGUAAAGCUCCUUCGACGAGUCGAGUUGUUUGGGAAUGCAGCUCUAAAUGGGUGGUAAAUUUCAUCUAAAGCUAAAUACUGGCCGGAGACCGAUAGCGCACAAGUAGAGUGAUCGAAAGAUGAAAAGCACUUUGAAAAGAGAGUUAAACAGCACGUGAAAUUGUUGAAAGGGAAGCGCUUGCGACCAGACUCGCCCGCGGGGUUCAGCCGGCAUUCGUGCCGGUGUACUUCCCCGUGGGCGGGCCAGCGUCGGUUUGGGCGGCCGGUCAAAGGCCCCUGGAAUGUAGUGCCCUCCGGGGCACCUUAUAGCCAGGGGUGCAAUGCGGCCAGCCUGGACCGAGGAACGCGCUUCGGCACGGACGCUGGCAUAAUGGUCGUAAACGACCCGUCUUGAAACACGGACCAAGGAGUCUAACAUCUACGCGAGUGUUCGGGUGUCAAACCCGUGCGCGCAGUGAAAGCGAACGGAGGUGGGAGCCCCCUUGCGGGGCGCACCAUCGACCGAUCCUGAUGUCUUCGGAUGGAUUUGAGUAAGAGCGUAGCUGUGGGGACCCGAAAGAUGGUGAACUAUGCCUGAAUAGGGCGAAGCCAGAGGAAACUCUGGUGGAGGCUCGCAGCGGUUCUGACGUGCAAAUCGAUCGUCAAAUUUGGGUAUAGGGGCGAAAGACUAAUCGAACCAUCUAGUAGCUGGUUCCUGCCGAAGUUUCCCUCAGGAUAGCAGUAACGCAAAAUCAGUUUUAUGAGGUAAAGCGAAUGAUUAGAGGCAUUGGGGUUGAAACAACCUUAACCUAUUCUCAAACUUUAAAUAUGUAAGAAGCCCUUGUUGCUUAGUUGAACGUGGGCAUUAGAAUGGAGCGUUACUAGUGGGCCAUUUUUGGUAAGCAGAACUGGCGAUGCGGGAUGAACCGAACGCGAGGUUAAGGUGCCGGAAUGCACGCUCAUCAGACACCACAAAAGGUGUUAGUUCAUCUAGACAGCCCGACGGUGGCCAUGGAAGUCGGAAUCCGCUAAGGAGUGUGUAACAACUCACGGGCCGAAUGAACUAGCCCUGAAAAUGGAUGGCGCUCAAGCGUGCUACCCAUACCUCGCCGUCGGGGUAGAAACGAUGCCCCGACGAGUAGGCAGGCGUGGGGGUCCGUGACGAAGCCUG